UGCAAGUCGAGCGGAAGAUGGGAGCUUGCUCCCUGAUGUUAGCGGCGGACGGCUGAUUAACACGUGGGUAACCUGCCUGUAAGACUGGGAUAACUCCGGGAAACCGGGGCUAAUACCGGAUGGUUGUUUGAACCGCAUGGUUCAAACAUAAAAGGUGGCUUCGGCUACCACUUACAGAUGGACCCGCGGCGCAUUAGCUAGUUGGUGAGGUAACGGCUCACCAAGGCAACGAUGCGUAGCCGACCUGAGAGGGUGAUCGGCCACACUGGGACUGAGACACGGCCCAGACUCCUACGGGAGGCAGCAGUAGGGAAUCUUCCGAAAUGGACGAAAGUCUGACGGAGCAACGCCGCGUGAGUGAUGAAGGUUUUCGGAUCGUAAAGCUCUGUUGUUAGGGAAGAACAAGUACCGUUCGAAUAGGGCGGUACCUUGACGGUACCUAACCAGAAAGCCACGGCUAACUACGUGCCAGCAGCCGCGGUAAUACGUAGGUGGCAAGCGUUGUCCGGAAUUAUUGGGCGUAAAGGGCUCGCAGGCGGUUUCUUAAGUCUGAUGUGAAAGCCCCCGGCUCAACC
rnacentral:rRNA from 1 species